rnacentral:rRNA from 1 species
UACAGAGGUCUCAAGCGUUGUUCGGAUUCAUUGGGCGUAAAGGGUGCGUAGGUGGCGUCGUAAGUGGGGUGUGAAAUCCCGGGGCUUAACCCCGGGACUGCAUUCCAUACUGCGGUGCUUGAGGACUGGAGAGAAGACUGGAAUUUACGGUGUAGCAGUGAAAUGCGUAGAGAUCGUAAGGAAGACCAGUGGCGAAGGCGGGUCUCUGGACAGUUCCUGACACUGAGGCACGAAGGCCAGGGGAGCAAACGGG